rnacentral:rRNA from 1 species
CCUACGGGAGGCAGCAGUGGGGAAUAUUGGACAAUGGGCGCAAGCCUGAUCCAGCCAUGCCGCGUGAGUGAUGAAGGCCCUAGGGUUGUAAAGCUCUUUCACCGGAGAAGAUAAUGACGGUAUCCGGAGAAGAAGCCCCGGCUAACUUCGUGCCAGCAGCCGCGGUAAUACGAAGGGGGCUAGCGUUGUUCGGAUUUACUGGGCGUAAAGCGCACGUAGGCGGAUCGAUCAGUCAGGGGUGAAAUCCCAGAGCUCAACUCUGGAACUGCCUUUGAUACUGUCGAUCUGGAGUAUGGAAGAGGUGAGUGGAAUUCCGAGUGUAGAGGUGAAAUUCGUAGAUAUUCGGAGGAACACCAGUGGCGAAGGCGGCUCACUGGUCCAUUACUGACGCUGAGGUGCGAAAGCGUGGGGAGCGAAACAGGAUUAGAUACCCUGGUAGUCCACGCCGUAAACGAUGAAUGUUAGCCGUCGGGCAGUAUACUGUUCGGUGGCGCAGCUAACGCAUUAAACAUUCCGCCUGGGGAGUACGGUCGCAAGAUUAAAACUCAAAUGAAUUGACGG